AGUGGCAGACGGGUGAGUAACGCGUGGGAACGUGCCCUUCGCUUCGGAAUAGCUCCGGGAAACUGGUGGUAAUACCGUAUACGCCCUCAGGGGGAAAGAUUUAUCGGCGAAAGAUCGGCCCGCGUUGGAUUAGCUAGUUGGUGAGGUAAUGGCUCACAAAGGCGACGAUCCAUAGCUGGUCUGAGAGGAUGAUCAGCCACACUGGGACUGAGACACGGCCCAGACUCCUACGGGAGGCAGCAGUGGGGAAUCUUGCACAAUGGGCGAAAGCCUGAUGCAGCCAUGCCGCGUGAAUGAUGAAGGCCUUAGGGUUGUAAAAUUCUUUCGUCAGGGAUGAUAAUGACCGUACCUGAAGAAGAAGCCCCGGCUAACUUCGUGCCAGCAGCCGCGGUAAUACGAAGGGGGCUAGCGUUGUUCGGAAUUACUGGGCGUAAAGCGCACGUAGGCGGACUUUUAAGUCAGGUGUGAAAUCCCGGGGCUCAACCUCGGAACUGCAUUUGAAACUGGAAGUCUUGAGACCAGGAGAGGUUAGCGGAAUACCGAGUGUAGAGGUGAAAUUCGUAGAUAUUCGGUGGAACACCAGUGGCGAAGGCGGCUAACUGGACUGGUACUGACGCUGAGGUGCGAAAGUGUGGGGAGCAAUCAGGAUUAGAUACCCUGGUAGUCCACACCGUAAACGAUGAGAGCUAGUUGUUGGCA
rnacentral:rRNA from 1 species